GGGUUUAGUGGUAGAAUGCUCGCCUGCCACGCGGGCGACCCGGGUUCGAUUCCCGGCCA
rnacentral:tRNA from 1 species